rnacentral:rRNA from 1 species
UACAGAGGGGGCAAGCGUUGUUCGGAAUUACUGGGCGUAAAGGGCGCGUAGGUGGCCUUCUAAGUCGAACGUGAAAUCCCUGGGCUCAACCCAGGAACUGCGUCCGAGACUGGGAGGCUUGAAUCCGGGAGAGGGAUGCGGAAUUCCAGGUGUAGCGGUGAAAUGCGUAGAUAUCUGGAGGAACACCGGUGGCGAAGGCGGCAUCCUGGACCGGGAUUGACACUGAGGCGCGGAAGCCAGGGGAGCAAACGGG